AUUGAACGCUGGCGGCAUGCUUUACACAUGCAAGUCGAACGGUAACAGGGAGCUUGCUCCGCUGACGAGUGGCGAACGGGUGAGUAAUGCGUCGGAACGUGCCGAGUAGUGGGGGAUAACGCAUCGAAAGGUGUGCUAAUACCGCAUACGUACUGAGGUAGAAAGUGGGGGACCUUCGGGCCUCACGCUAUUCGAGCGGCCGACGUCUGAUUAGCUAGUUGGUGAGGUAAAGGCUCACCAAGGCGACGAUCAGUAGCGGGGCUGAGAGGAUGAUCCGCCAAACUGGGACUGAGACACGGCCCAGACUCCUACGGGAGGCAGCAGUGGGGAAUUUUGGACAAUGGGCGCAAGCCUGAUCCAGCCAUGCCGCGUGUCUGAAGAAGGCCUUCGGGUUGUAAAGGACUUUUGUCCGGGAGCAAAUGCUGGUGGCUAACAUCCACCGGAGCUGAGAGUACCGGAAGAAUAAGCACCGGCUAACUACGUGCCAGCUGCCGCCGUAACAC
rnacentral:rRNA from 1 species